rnacentral:rRNA from 1 species
GACGAACGCUGGCGGCGUGCUUAACACAUGCAAGUCGAACGGAAAGGCCCUGCUUUUGUGGGGUGCUCGAGUGGCGAACGGGUGAGUAACACGUGAGUAACCUGCCCUUGACUUUGGGAUAACUUCAGGAAACUGGGGCUAAUACCGGAUAGGAGCUCCUGCUGCAUGGUGGGGGGUGGAAAGUUUCGGCGGGUGGGGAUGGACUCGCGGCUUAUCAGCUUGUUGGUGGGGUAGUGGCUUACCAAGGCUUUGACGGGUAGCCGGCAUGAGAGGGUGACCGGCCACAUGGGGACUGAGAUACGGCGCAGACUGCAACGGGAGGCAGCAGUGGGGAAUAUUGCACAGUGGGCGGGAGCCUGAUGCGGAAACGCCGCGUGCGGGAUGACGGCCUUCGGGGUGUAAACCGCUUUCGCCUGUGACGAGGCGUGAGUGACGGUAAUGGGUAAAGAAGCACCGGCUAACUACGUG